rnacentral:rRNA from 1 species
UACGUAGGGGGCGAGCGUUGUCCGGAUUUAUUGGGCGUAAAGAGCGUGUAGGCGGCCAGGUAGGUCUGCUGUGAAAACUCGAGGCUCAACCUCGAGACGUCGGCGGAAACCCCCUGGCUAGAGUCCGGAAGAGGAGAGUGGAAUUCCUGGUGUAGCGGUGAAAUGCGCAGAUAUCAGGAAGAACACCCGUGGCGAAGGCGGCUCUCUGGGACGGUACUGACGCUGAGACGCGAAAGCGUGGGGAGCGAACAGG